GCUUACGGCCAUACCAGCCUGGGUACGCCCGAUCUCGUCUGAUCUCGUAAGCAAAGCAGGGUCGGGCCUGGUUAGUACUUGGAUGGGAGACCGCCUGGGAGUACCAGGUGCUGUAAGGA
rnacentral:rRNA from 1 species